GUCUGCUCUGAACGAUGAAAGACAUGGGUAGUGAGACGUCGGAGCCUCGUCGUAUCACUAUUCUGUUUUUCGCCGUCGGGAUCGUGACCUGGAA
ensembl:miRNA mir-71 ncRNA